GCCGCCGUGGCCCAAUGGUAGGGCAUCAUUUUCCUACGACGCAUUCCACGUUGUUAAGAAGCGGGAGUUGCGGGUUCGAGUCCCGUCGGUGGUA